GAAAAAUAAAACAAAUUCCUCGAAAAAAAUGGCGCGCUCCGCGAAGUUCCACGUCUGACCGCUAUUCAACCGGCCGGCGUGGUGGCGCAACCAUCCACGUGGUAGAGGCGCUUCGCGAUCAUUCUACAGAGCAAGUUUAUUUGUAAACACGCGGUUUCAUUUCUUAAGAUGGACACGUACGAAGCACGUAAAAAAGAUUGGGAAGAUUUAGAAGUGACCAAAGAAGAGUUGAAGAAUUUGACCGAGUGUUUGAAGAAGGAAGAGUUCCGGAAAUUGUUGAUCGAGUACGCAGAGGAGGUGACUGAUCCGGAGAAUAGGAAGAUAUACGAGAAAGAAAUCACGCAAUUGGAAAAAGAACGGGGCGUCGACGUUACGUUCGUUAACCCAGAGCCUGGUUACGUCAUAAAAACAAGCGUAAACGGAGAGAAGAAAUGUUUUCUGAACAUCAGCAAAAGCGACAUCGUGGCACGACCGACCAGUCAACCUUCUUUCGAACAAGGUCAUCGCGGUUUGCAGUGGUCUAUUCCGUAUACGUUGAUACCUCCGCGUGACGAUCUUGAUAAAAAGAACGUGCGUUGCAUGGUAUUUGACGUUGUCUUUCAUCCGGACACUCUUUAUCUAUCGUCAAAGAAUGCGCAGUUUCGGGAAAUCGUUAAUAACACAGCCAUGGACGGUGUGGAAAAUAACUUCAAGGUCAAAUUAGACAGAAAGAAUGUUAAGUUUCCAAAGUCGAGUUAUAAAGGGAUGUGCCAUCCUACAGUGAUAAGAAAACCAUCCAAGGAACCUCCGAAGGAACAUUUAGACAUAGAACCAGAAAUCUAUCAAAAGUUGAUGUCCAGUUACGAUAGGAGCAGAGAGCAGCAUAUAAAGCAGACAGAGGAACAGCCGCGAAGACCUGUACCAUCUACCACAUACUAUAAAGAGAGACUGGAGGAGAAGCAAGACAUGAACAGUGAAUACGUUACACCUAAAUUUUCUAUUAAACAUCAGUCCGAUGUAGAGCUGGAAGAUUUCAGUACUAAUAGAAAUGCAAACAUGAAUGCUACAGUACCUAAGCGAUUGAUCAUUACUAUAGACCUACCCUUAUUAAAAACUGCCACCGAUGCUUCCUUAGAUGUUCAAGAGCGUUUUCUUAAUGUAAAGAGCGAAAAACCUGCAAAGUAUUUGCUGGAAUUGCCUUUGCCUUAUCGUGUAGAUGCAGAUCAUGGCAAUGCUAAAUUUGAUCCGAAAUACAAAAAACUAGUGGUGACUCUACCAGUUAUUAGAUCUGUGGUACCAGUGUCCGAUACCAGAGAAGACAGCGGAGUUGACAGCGAUCAUAGUAGUCCUGUACCGAUGCUCUCUGAACGCAUCUCAAAAGAUGAUUCCUUUGAUCAGAGUCACGCGAGUAACUCUAUAUCAAAAUUAGUUGAAGAUUGUGAAACAGUGCUCGCAAUCACUAAACUAGAGGAUACAAGUGAAAAGUUAGAAGAUUCUAGUGACACUGCGUUACGGACUAACAUAGAGGAUACAGAUACUUUUACAGAUCCUAGCGUUAAGUAUUCUUUACCGACGUUUAUUUGUAAUUUAUACGAAAAUCAAUUAACUAUUACUAUAAAUGUAAAAAACGUGAAUCCAGAUUCUAUUCGUCAUAAGAUCUUGCAAAAUAAUUCCGGUGUGCAUGUUUUAUUAACAUCGAUAGGCGCAGGAUUUUAUCCUCAACAUUAUUCGUUAUGUUUAAAAAUAAACGAAAACUCUGUGGAUCCCGAUUCGUUCACGGUUGAUCCAUGGGAUAAUAACGUUGUGUUCUCCGUAAAAUUAGAAAACGUUGAAAACUUAGCACGAUACUACGUUGGUGAGACCGAGGAGUUCAUGGAAGAGAAAUAUCUUCCUACAGCUUUGUCAUUCCAGACCCAAUUGAAAGAACUGACAGCGGAAGAAGAUUUCAAAAUAGAUCGAACGAUAGACGUGCACACAGAAGAUGAUGGUGUCGUCAUAAAUAUUACUCCGAAUCAGUUGGAUUCCGACGACGAAGUUGAUCACCGGAAUUUGCGGUCGAUCGAAUGUCGCGAAAAUCAUGACACCGUGUCAGAAACUAGAUCCGUUUCAGAAAGUAGCGGAGAUGAACUAACAAGUAGCAUCGGUGCAAGUACAUUCUCGAAAGGUAUAUUAAAAUCAAGGCGCGCUAAUGCUUUUUCUCGUUCAGUAUCGGAAUCGAGCGCCGAUGAAAAUGGAAUGCCGGCAUCGUCUAUAGACUGCCAUUACGGUUCGGUACAAGACAUGAACUCUGAAUCGGAAUGUUCCAGUUUAAAAAAGACAGUACGAUUCAAUGACGUAGUGUCGCGACAAUUAUUCAGAUCAAACUCCAGCAUUCUCGGUCGACGUAAGAAAAACCGACGUAAAUUGCGAAACAAAAAACGUGCACAGAAUCGUAGAUUGAGCGAGAGCGAAAACUCCGAAACGGAGGAACGCGACAAAUAUAAGAUAAAUCAAAAGAGUACAGAAGUUACUGAUAUCGUGAAACCUAUACUUAAUAAGGAUAAGCAAUCGACGAAACAGAAAACUGCCAAUAUUGAAAUAAUGAAAGGGGCUAGUGAUAAUCGUUCGUCGGUGGAAAGGAACUCCAGCGUCGAGGAAGAAAUCGAGCAUGAAAUUCAUUCGGAUAAGGAUAUCGAAUAUAAGGAUGCGGUGAAGAUGGAAUUUAAGAACGAUCUGAUAUUUGAUCUUGACAUGUAGAUUUCUGCGAUAUGUCAACGAAUUGAAACUCGUAUGUGAUAUCUUCUGAAGUUAAACGAUAACGAAAGAAAAGUGACUACGCAUCAUAGUUGCGCGCACCAUCGUGAAUCGAUGAAAUUGUAUAUUCGUAUUAUUUUAGAAGGGUUCGUAAUCGUGAGUAAACAAAUUGUUAGAGAAUGUUAGAAGUUUUUAGUACGAUAGCUCAAAAACGUCGAUCUUAUUCUAUUAUACCUUACAUAUUUAUAAAGAUUGCGGGUACGCGGUCAACAAAGUGCAGAGAUGGAUGGGAAUCUCUUUAAUAUAUCUCAUGCGAUGUACUGCAUACUUUGAGAAUAUUUCUUAUAGAAAAGCAGAAGAACGCGAUUUAUUAAAAUUAUUCGUGAAGGGAAUCUGCAUAAGAAGUACGAAAACACAUGCUCUAUUUUAUAGAAUGAAGUUCUUAAAAAAAUCAAUUUUUACAGACAUUUUAUAGAGAUUAUCGUACGAUCAUUUGUAUAGAUUGCACGUAGCGAAUACAUUCUUCCAAUAAUCGCGAUCAUAUAAUCUGAAUCAUGAUUAGAAAGUAUUGUUCCAUCGCGGAGCAAAUUGCGCACUCUUGCUUUUGUAGCGAGGUGUUUGCCAUAUCAAUGUACACGCGAUACAAUAUUAGCAUAUUCCAUACAAUAAAAAGUGGGGAAUAAAAUUUCCUGAUACUAUGUUCAA
rnacentral:misc_RNA from 1 species